rnacentral:ncRNA from 1 species
GGCUUGUACACACCGCCCGUCAAGUCAUGAAAGUCGGUAACACCCGAAGCCGGUGGCCUAACCUGUGUGGGGGAGCCGUCGAAGGUGGGACUGGUAAUUAGGACUAAGUCGUAACAAGGUAGCCGUAUCGGAAGGUGCGGCUGGAUCACCUCCUUU